GACGUAGGGUGCAAGCGUUGUCCGGAUUUAUUGGGCGUAAAGAGCUCGUAGGCGGCUUGUUGCGUCGACUGUGAAAACCCGCGGCUUAACCGCGGGCUUGCAGUUGAUACGGGCAGGCUAGAGUUCGGUAGGGGAGACUGGAAUUCCUGGUGUAGCGGUGAAAUGCGCAGAUAUCAGGAGGAACACCGGUGGCGAAGGCGGUUCUCUGGGCAUGUCCUGACGCUGAGGAGCGAAAGUGUGGGGAGCGAACAGG
rnacentral:rRNA from 1 species